ACGAACGCUGGCGGCGUGCCUAAUACAUGCAAGUAGAACGCACAGUUUAUACCGUAGCUUGCUACACCAUAACCUGUGAGUUGCGAACGGGUGAGUAACGCGUAGGUAACCUGCCUGGUAGCGGGGGAUAACUAUUGGAAACGAUAGCUAAUACCGCAUAAUAUUGAUUAUUGCAUGAUAAUUGAUUGAAAGAUGCUAUUGCAUCACUACCAGAUGGACCUGCGUUGUAUUAGCUAGUAGGUGAGGUAACGGCUCACCUAGGCGACGAUACAUAGCCGACCUGAGAGGGUGAUCGGCCACACUGGGACUGAGACACGGCCCAGACUCCUACGGGAGGCAGCAGUAGGGAAUCUUCGGCAAUGGACGAAAGUCUGACCGAGCAACGCCGCGUGAGUGAAGAAGGUUUUCGGAUCGUAAAGCUCUGUUGUAAGAGAAGAACGGGUGUGAGAGUGGAAAGUUCACACUGUGACGGUAUCUUACCAGAAAGGGACGGCUAACUACGUG
rnacentral:rRNA from 1 species